GCGAGCAUGAUGGAAGAACGACGCGCGGCGGAG
rnacentral:misc_RNA from 1 species